rnacentral:rRNA from 1 species
UACGUAGGGUGCGAGCGUUAAUCGGAAUUACUGGGCGUAAAGCGUGCGCAGGCGGUUCUGAAAGUCAGCUGUGAAAGCCCCGGGCUUAACCUGGGAAUUGCGGUUGAAACUACAGGGCUAGAAUCUGGCAGAGGGGGGUGGAAUUCCCGGUGUAGCGGUGAAAUGCGCAGAUAUCGGGAGGAACACCAGUGGCGAAGGCGACUUCCUGGCCUGUUCUUGACGCUGAGGCGCGAAAGCUAGGGGAGCAAACGGG